GGUUAUAGCUUCCUAAAACCCUCUAUAUUGACCAUGGAGUAGGUUAUAGCUUCCUAAAACCCUCUAUAUUGACCAUGGAGUAGGUUAUAGCUUCCUAAAACCCUCUAUAGUGACCGUGGAGUAGGUUAUAGCUUCCUAAAACCCUCUAUAUUGACCAUGGAGUAGGUUAUAGCUUCCUAAAACCCUCUAUAGUGACCGUGGAGUAGGUUAUAGCUUCCUAAAACCCUCUAUAGUGACCAUGGAGUAGAUUCUAGCUUCCUAAAACCCUCUAUAUUGACCAUGGAGUAGGUUAUAGCUUCCUAAAACCCUCUAUAUUGACCAUGGAGUAGAUUCUAGCUUCCUACAACCGCCUAAAAUCACUAGCAUGCGUUAUGUUUUGUUUUGUGUCACAUCUCUUGACUUUCUACCUGCGAUUUUAAACUAAAGGAAAGCAACUCGUCUAACAGAAGAAGCAAGUAUCAUGAAGCCACGAGCACAGAAGAUAAUGCAGUCGCAUGGCACAAAGGAGUAUUGUGUUGGCAUCCAGUGGCUGCGUCAAAACUGGAAUAUUUAAUAAUCAAUCCUCUAUUUGAAAUACAUUUUUAGAACUGAACUGAAUACAUAAAAAAUAAAGAAUAAAGUAGACUUGACUAAAUGCCGUU
ensembl:lncRNA